UGCUGAGUGAAAACUGCUGACAGGGACCUCUUGCCGCGUGGGCACAGGGUGACAGCAAGAUUCUUCAGAUGGACUUAAUGACCUUGGCCCUCAACAAGAGCAAAUCAGAAUGCUGGACAUUUUCCUCCCCAUGAGAGCUUCUACGUGUGAAAGGCAGGGAUACCAGAUGCUAGAGACACAAUGGAAUAGUACCAGUUUUCUUUGCUGGUGAGAAUUCCCGUGACAUAAUUUGGAGGCCCCAGCAAGAUUCCAGCCACACCAACCCUCUGCACUGAGGAAACAGCAGCUCAGCCACACCAGAAUGAAGGAUUUCCAAGUGAAGAUGCUAAGCAUGUUCUGG
rnacentral:lncRNA from 1 species